UGAAAGAAAAUACCAAGAGUAUAUUUUGAAAAGGAUAGCAAUGGUAAAGCAAGAAUUUAGCAUUUGAAAUCUCGUUCUGGAACAUUGUCAAUCCACGGGAAGGAGAAGGAACAAGAAUCAAUCAAGCUCAUCUGUAACAAGUUCAAUUACAUAACUGCAUAGUAACUGCUCCAAAUUUAGCUUCUCAAGAUGGGCAUCAUUUAUCUCAUCAGCCUUAUAUGCCAAUCCCAGUGAUCUAGGGGAUGGUAAAUUUCCUAUAAAUAGAAACUCAUAUUAAUAUUAUAUUUCAAAGUCUUCUUAACCCCCUUUUUUCUUUGACCACUAGGAAAUUUGGCUGAUGCUAUGGCUAAGGUUCUACUAAUAAAUUUAAGGAAAGGUACAAGAUUUUUGGGCCAAACAUGAAAGAGGUGAACCCAAUGCCACAGGUCUGGGAAGCUCCAACAUCAAAAUUAUGGGAGCCAUUUACGAUUAACAACCACUGGUUUCUUUUUGUUUUGUUUGUUUGUUUGUUUUGUUUUUAGAUGAUGAUUUUUUUCUUUAUUUUUUAAUUAGAUAUUUUCUUCAUUUACAUUUCAAAUGCUAUCCCCUUUCCUAGUUUCCUCCCCGAAAAUCUCCUAUACCUUUCCCCUCCCCCUGCUCCCCAACCCACCCACUCCUGCUUCCUGGCCCUGGCAUUCCCCUAUACUGGGGAAUAGAAUCUUCUCAAGGCCAAGAGCCUCUCCUCCCAUUGAUGGCUGACUAGGCCAUCUUCUGCUACAUAUGCAGCUAGAGACACGAGCUCUGGGAGUACUGGUUAGUUCAUAUUGUUAUUCCUCCUAUAGGGCUGCAGACCCCCUCAGCUUCUUGGAUACUUUCUCUAUCUCCUUCACUGUGUUCCAUCCAAUAGAUGACUGUGAGCAUUCACUUCUGUAUUUGCCAGGCAUGGGCAUAACCUCACAGGAGACAGCUAUAUCAGGAUCAUGACAGCAAAAUCUUGUUGGAAUAUGCAAGUGUCUGGUGGUUGUUUAAUGGGAUGGAUCCCCGGGUGGGGCAGUCUCUGAAUGGUCCUUCCUUCAGUCUCAACUCUGAACUUUGUCUCUGUAAUUCUUUCCAUGGGUAUUUUGUUCCCCCUUCUAAGACGGAACGAAGUAGCCACACUUUGGUCUUCCUUCUUCUUGAGUUUCAUGUGUUUUGCAAAUUGUACCUUGAAUAUUCUAAGUCUCUGGGCUAAUAUCCACUUAUCAGUGAGUACAUAUCAUGUGUGUACUUUUGAGACUGGGUUACCUCACUCAGGAUGAUAUCCUCCAGAUCCAUCCAUUUGGCUAAGAAUUUCAUAAAUUCAUUGUUUUAAAUUGCUGAGUAGUACUCCAUUGUAUAAAUGUACCACAUUUUUUGUAUCCAUUCCUCUGUUGAGGGACAUCUGGGUUCUUUCCAGCUUCUGGCUAUUAUAAAUAAGGCAGCUAUAAACAUAGUGGAGCAUGUCUCCUUAUUACAAGUUGGAAUAUAUUCUGGGUAUAUGACCAGGAGACAACCACAGUUGUGAACAGAAAUCCAGACAGACUAGGAAACAUGUUGGAUAUGGAUCCUAGGGCUUUCCUCCAAGGGCAAACCCAUAUUCCAAAGAGUCAUUCUUGACUGGAUUAUAUCAAGAACUUUCCUGAACAUGCUUGUCUGAGUCAGGAGUACCAUGUGAUGAGCACAAUGAAUAUUGGAAAGACCCUGAUUUCUAGCGCCAUCCUCUGUCCCCAAGCUCUAACAGUUCAUCAGAAAGUAGACAUUUCAAUGAACAGCACAAUUUGAGCACAUAAACAGUAGGCUGAGCUCAUUCAACAUCAUCUAUAACUUUAUCUCAGGUCUGAAGUAAUCUUUUCAACGGUGCCCUCUUCACACUCUAUAGCACACAGGUUUAUACUAGGAUCAGUGGAACAUGGAAUGUGCAUAGAUUCCUGGAAUCUUCCUGAGCAAUUAUUCCCUCCAGUUAUCUCCCGGGUUCAGAGAAACAGGAAAAUACAGCAGUCAGAAUGAAGGGGGAUAUAGCUACAUGCUGCAUGGAGCUGGGAAGACAAGGAGAUUCUUGUAAGUAGAAUGUGGAACAUUGACUUAAGAUGGUCCCCUUUGAAGCCUAGCUUGUUGGGAUGGCUGGCUCAGAGCUAGUCAGCUGAGGGACAGAACAGAGAAGGCAAUGCCAUCUACAAAAUCAGACUCAAGAGUCCCAUGUGCCAGACUUCCCACUAACAGUUGACUUUAUCAUCUAAAUGUGCCCCUAAGGUCUCUUGCAUUUCUUUUAUGACUUUAUGUGCUGCCAUAUGUCUAUAUGAAUGUUUUGCUGACAUAUAUGUUUAUGUACAAGUAGUCUGAUUGAAAUAAGUCAACUAAUACCAACAACGUUUUACUACAUCGUCUAUCCAGAAGUCUGUUUGCAUACAGACCAGCAUAUUCAAAGCUCUUGGUGACAAAUCACAAAUGGCCUUAGAGAUUCUCCAGGUCACUAUCUGUAGGUGUGUGCUACUUACAUCUCAAAGUUAUUAGGAGGGCUGUCAUCUGCUGCCUGGGACAUGGCUGUAAAUGUAGUAUUGGGGGGACCCUGAUCCCCUACCCACUCCAGAUCUGACCACAGAGCAGAAACUAGUCAAUUCAGUCAGCAGCAAUCAGCAUAACAUGUAAGGUUACCUCACGUGCAAAGAAGCGUUUUCAGCUGCCUAUGGUGAUGGAUGGAAGGCAACUGACAGACGCCUACUAUUUCUUGUUGUUCAAUGGAAGACUUCUUUAGAAACAAUACCUUCACUUGCUCACAUGACCUUCCAAAACCUCAUUCAAUUAUUUAGUACAGGAAGCAAUGCCUUAUAUUUUUGUCUUCUUAGCACUUUGCACAUAGUAGGCGAUUAAAAUAUGCCACCUAAUUCAGUGAAAGUGGCAUUAUCGGAGUUGCCCAUUGAGACUUCCAUUUGUCACAUUCCCCAAUGUUCCUGCGGUUGUAACUGAAAAAUCACUGGUUGUCCUCCACUUUCCUCCUUACUUUUGUUUUUGUGAGCACUGCUUCUUCCAGAUACCAGCUGGCUGCCACCACCCACCCUGAAUGAACUCUGCAUUGUGGGCUGGUGCCACACUGUCCAAAAUCGUCUCCUUGCAUUUUCGUCUAUGAAAACCCAUCAGAGAUGUUUUGUGAGAACAAGAAUCUGCAACAGAGAUUUUUCUCUAAGAACCAAGAGUGCUAGCAAUGCAUUAUAACUCUGGAGGUACAUUUCUUUCAAAAUUAAAUCUUUGGAAAGAAAAAUGUUCCUAAUGGAAUUAGAUGAUAUGACAUCACUCACCCUGGCAUUGGAUAGACUGAGGACAUGCAGGUCCUGGAAGACCUCAUUUUACUGUUUUUGCCUUAGCUCACCUAGCCAUGCUCCCUCCUUCACUCUCUGAAGUGUUCCAGUUUGAGAGAUAUAUUGUUUGGACACACUACAGGUCUUUUACACUUACAAGGGCAAUUUUGACAUUAAAAUAUUGGCUUCAAGGCUGAAAAGAUGGCUCAGCAGUUAGCAGCACUUGCUGCUCUUGCUGAAGGUGAAGAUUUAGUUUUACAGUGAGUGGCUAACAGCUGCCUGUAACUCCAAUUACAGGGGCUCUGACACCCUCUUCGGGCCUUGGUGGGCACUUUCUUGCAUGGAGUGCACGUGUAUACACUGACAUGCACACAGCACACCUAAAAUAACAAGAUAAACCCUUUACAAGACAAAUUUUUUCUCAAGUUCAUUAGUUAUUCACUGCCAGAGUUGAAAAGCUGCAGAAAUAGAGCCAAGUAAUAUUCUCCUAAGUUACUGAACCAGUGUUUUCUAGUAAAGUGGAGAUUGCAGUUUCUAAUUAAUAUCUUCCCAUGAGCAUGCCCUGGAAGAGUAAUUCACAGGAUAGAGUGUAACUAAGCAAAAAAAGGAGACGCGACUUAUUAAAGCACUUGCUCCAGAUUUACAUGAUCUGUGGAGCUUCGGCAGCAUCAUGUCGCCCUGCGUGAGAUUCCCUCCGCUCCUGCUGUAUUUCAUUUUAGCAGGCACUUCCAUACAACUCUCUCUGCAUUUAUUAUUCAGUUAUUUCUUUUUAUUGUUUCACCAAAAUCUUGGACAUCUUAGAACCAUUGCUUCAUCUUUUUUGAUGCUCAAAACAUGGAAGGGCCGGAUGGGUGGCUCUGAGGUUAAAAGUGCUCACUGCUCUACUGGGAGGACCAGAGUUUGGGUCCUGCCACCCACACCAGGCAGUUCACAAAUGCCUGUAACUCCUCCCACAUAUGACCAACCCCAAACACAUCCAACUUCAGGUUCUUUCUCUUUCUUUCUCAAAACAAACAUGUGAACAAGAGAAAUAAAAAAUAAAAUAAAAUAAGUAAAAUUAAAAUCAAACCAAAGUUAAAG
rnacentral:lncRNA from 1 species